rnacentral:lncRNA from 1 species
AUAUGUUCGUGUGCCAGAUAUCACCUAUCCUCACUGCCAUUGGUUAUAGAACAGUGACUGUGUGUAAUUGUUCACAGAUGCAUGAGAAGCAGAGAGACCUGACACUCAACACAUCCAAAUGUCCAGCAAUAACGCCACCAUUUUCAGUCAAUGUGUCACUGAUAAGCUCUGCCUCAACUCUGCCCAUUUCUACAGAUGGACUGGAGAUGCUUUUGCCAGACGGCGUCAUCAGUCGUUUGGUGGGGAGACCAUAAUUGGCCAACAGAUGGAGACUUGCUAGAUGAUAAAGUCCAGAAUGACAGACGGAAUUAAGACUUGUCAAGGUUGUGCGCUACUGGUGGAGAAGUCAGGUGCAGGAGAGCAGAGAGUUGUGAACAGGUGCACACUUUAUUUAAGCAGAGGCAAUAAAACAGACCAACGCCACUGCGUCAAAACUUCCAGACAAAGGCAAAAAGUGCAAGGUGUGAAAGUCACAAAAAUAAGCAAAUGUUUAACAAUUAAACAUCAUUCGUGAAAUACCACGGAAUACAGGGGAAAAACCAGCCUGGCGUGUAACACAAAACACGUAACAAAAACAAUUUCACACAAAGACAUGGGGGGGAAAAAAUCUGAGGAAUAAAUACAUGCAGUGUGAUUAGGGAAUGUAAACCAGGUGUGCAGGGAACAAGACAAAACAAAUGGAACAAUGAAAAAAUGAGCGGCGAUGGCUAGAAAGCCGAAAGGAGAGGAGAAAGGAGAGGAGCCAACUUCGGCGGAAGUCGUGACAAUACUGAUUAAUCUGAAUGGCGAGAGACCUGGUACUUGGUAUUAACAUUUUACUAGACAACUUUUACUGGUAUUGUCUUUUUUUAUUAUUGAAUUUAAUGGUAUCAGUCAAUAAAUGGAGAGAGAAACCCUGUGUAUUCUGCACCAGGAUCAGAGAACUCCUGUUGCAUACGGGACACCACACAGGAAGGUAUGACCACUCUGACAUGUUUGCCAAGGAAGCCUCAUUUACUACCAGACAAAAUGCCGAUAAGCACAGUAUCUGUAUCAGCAUGGAAUGACAAUGAAAGAUGAGAGGUGCACAUUGUUAUGUUAGCAGAACACUGCUUCUAUGGUAUUAUGUUAAGGGUUGUUUAUUCUACAUGGACCUGUAGCUACAUUUCAAAGUUAUCAAAAUACUUAGUUAGAAUAUCUGAAUAUCUGUGUAUUUAUUAUUUUUCUAUAAUUGUUAUACUUUUCUCUCUGCAUUGUUGGGAAAGUAAGCAUUUCACUAGUCUGAACCUGUUGUUUACGAAGCAUGUGACAAAUAAUAUUUUAACAUAAAUUCAGCAAUUGCAUUCUUCUCAUAUUAAUCUGUAGGCUAAUGAACAAUUCAAAGCUUCUUCCGGCAUCUCACCAUACAUCUGCCUGUAGUCAUUGAACUCAACCUGCAGGAGGUUUGUUUGUUGUGAUUGAGUGGGGAGAAACAGCUGUGGGCAAGGUUCUGACAGAUGGGUGUGUCUUGGUCUUG